rnacentral:rRNA from 1 species
CCUACGGGAGGCAGCAGUGAGGAAUAUUGGUCAAUGGGCGGGAGCCUGAACCAGCCAAGUCGCGUGAGGGAAGACGGUCCUAUGGAUUGUAAACCUCUUUAGGCGGGGAGCAAUGCCGGGCACGCGUGCCCGGAGGGAGAGUACCCGCAGAAUAAGCAUCGGCUAACUCCGUGCCAGCAGCCGCGGUAAUACGGAGGAUGCGAGCGUUAUCCGGAUUUAUUGGGUUUAAAGGGUGCGUAGGCGGAUUUUUAAGUCAGCGGUAAAAAUUCGGGGCUCAACCCCGUCGUGCCGUUGAAACUGAUGUUCUUGAGUGGGCGAGAAGUAUGCGGAAUGCGUGGUGUAGCGGUGAAAUGCAUAGAUAUCACGCAGAACUCCGAUUGCGAAGGCAGCAUACCAGCGCCCAACUGACGCUGAAGCACGAAAGCGUGGGUAUCGAACAGGAUUAGAUACCCCUGUAGUC